GGAAGGAGACUGUCACUCAUCAGCAGGUGGACAGGAAUUCAUAAAUAUCCAUGACUUGUCUCAGGUGGCCAUAAAACUUUUCCAGGCCCAGUCUGCAAUGAUUGUGAUGUUGGUUCUCGGCAACCACUUACUUUUAAC